rnacentral:rRNA from 1 species
CUUACGCAUGCAGUCGAACGUGAAAACACUUCGGUGUGAGUAGAGUGGCGGACGGGUGAGUAACGCGUGGGAAUCUGCCCAGUAGUGGGGGACAACUACCGGAAACGGUAGCUAAUACCGCAUACGCCCUAUGGGGGAAAGGCUUCGGCCGCUAUUGGAUGAGCCCGCGUCAGAUUAGCUAGUUGGUAGGGUAAAGGCCUACCAAGGCAACGAUCUGUAGCUGGUCUGAGAGGACGAACAGCCACACUGGGACUGAGACACGGCCCAGACUCCUACGGGAGGCAGCAGUGGGGAAUAUUGGACAAUGGGCGAAAGCCUGAUCCAGCAAUGCCGCGUGUGUGAAGAAGGCCUGCGGGUUGUAAAGCACUUUCAGUUGGGAAGAUGAUGACGUUACCAACAGAAGAAGCACCGGCUAAAUCCGUGCCAGCAGCCGCGGUAAUACGGAUGGUGCGAGCGUUAAUCGGAAUUACUGGGCGUAAAGCGCGCGUAGGCGGCUAAGUCAGUCAGAAGUGAAAGCCCCGGGCUCAACCUGGGAAUUGCUUUUGAUACUGCUUGGCUAGAGUUUGGUAGAGGAUAGUGGAAUUCCAGGUGUAGCGGUGAAAUGCGUAGAUAUCUGGAGGAACAUCAGUGGCGAAGGCGACUGUCUGGACCAAAACUGACGCUGAGGUGCGAAAGCGUGGGUAGCAAACAGGAUUAGAUACCCUGGUAGUCCACGCCGUAAACGAUGUCAACUAGCCGUCGGGUCUAUUUACAGACUUGGUGGCGCAGCUAACGCGAUAAGUUGACCGCCUGGGGAGUACGGCCGCAAGGUUAAAACUCAAAGGAAUUGACGGGGGCCCGCACAAGCGGUGGA